GGGGAUGCAGAACGGCCGAGGCGAGAUCCUAAAAAAGUCGGCCUCCCUUUUCCCUCUCUCACGGGGGGAUUUGCGGAGCCACCGGCGAAAUUUUUAAAAGAAACCGGACAUGGUAGGCACGCCGUCGGUCGUCAAAAAACCGUCGGCGGUCCGGAGGCGCAUCGCCGGCCCGUCUCGAUCGCUCCGAUCUUCCUUCCCGUUCUCCGCUCGCCGUUUCGGCUUUCCCGUCUCGUCACCUCUUUCGCGAGAGGCCGGGGCCGGGGUCGUCGCAUUCGGUUGGGGUUCGGGGGGGUCGAAAGGAAUCUCGGUCGAUGAGGCGGAGCAAGAGCACACACGUUGGGACCCGAAAGAUGGUGAACUAUGCCCGGGCAGGACGAAGCCAGAGGAAACUCUGGUGGAGGUCCGCAGCGAUUCUGACGUGCAAAUCGAUCGUCGGACCUGGGUAUAGGGGCGAAAGACUAAUCGAACCGUCUAGUAGCUGGUUCCCUCCGAAGUUUCCCUCAGGAUAGCUGGCGCUCGGAAACGAAAACGAAAGAAAUGAAACAGUCUCAUCCGGUAAAGCGAAUGAUUAGAGGCAGUUGGGGCCGAAACGGCCUCAACCUAUUCUCAAACUUUCAAUGGGUGAGAUGUCCGGCUUGCUUAACGAAUAGAAACAGGGGGGUCGCUCGCGGCUUGUGCGUCUCUUUUCUCGCCUCUUUUUCGAAGUGUUUCGCGACACGGAUGACUGGGAGUGCCGGGAGAUCUGCGCGCGCUCGUCGCGUCGGCCACAAACCCUUGAAGCACGGACGUAGGAUGCGAGUGCCCAGUGGGCCACUUUUGGUAAGCAGAACUGGCGCUGUGGGAUGAACCAAAAGCCGGGUUACGGCGCCCGAUGCGGACGCUUAUCAGACCCCAUGAAAGGUGUUGGUUGCUAUUGACAGCAGGACGGUGGCCAUGGAAGUCGGAAUCCGCUAAGGAGUGUGUAACAACUCACCUGCCGAAGCAACUAGCCCUGAAAAUGGAUGGCGCUCCAGCGUCGAGCCUA
rnacentral:ncRNA from 1 species